ensembl:lncRNA
UACAAAUGUCAAGAGCUCCUUUUUUGCCACAUGGGCUGUAUAUUUUUCACUGCCUCGAGAAAAACUUUCCUGUUGUGUGGCAUCUGUCCUGUCGCUGUUCACUUUGUUGAUUGGCUCUUUCCCUGGGGUGAUGAUGUGAAAUUAAAUCCAACCUUGGAGAGUGAAGCCUGGGCGUCAGUACGAUCAGGCGAGGAAGCUUCUGAUCUCAUUUCACAUGAUCAGCUCUGAAGUGGGACAAUUAGAUUAGCUAGACAAAGAUCACUGACAGAAAGUGCCUUGUGAGACAGCAUCCCUACUUGAAGA